AGCGAACGCUGGCGGCAGGCCUAACACAUGCAAGUCGAACGAAGUCUUCGGACUUAGUGGCGGACGGGUGAGUAACACGUGGGAACGUACCUUUUGGUUCGGAACAACUCAGGGAAACUUGAGCUAAUACCGGAUGAGCCCUUAGGGGGAAAGAUUUAUCGCCGAAAGAGCGGCCCGCGUUAGAUUAGCUAGUUGGUGAGGUAAAGGCUCACCAAGGCUACGAUCUAUAGCUGGUCUGAGAGGAUGAUCAGCCACACUGGGACUGAGACACGGCCCAGACUCCUACGGGAGGCAGCAGUGGGGAAUCUUGCGCAAUGGGCGAAAGCCUGACGCAGCCAUGCCGCGUGAAUGAUGAAGGUCUUAGGAUUGUAAAAUUCUUUUACCAGGGACGAUAAUGACGGUACCUGGAGAAAAAGCCCCGGCUAACUUCGUGCCAGCCGCCGCGGUAACAC
rnacentral:rRNA from 1 species